AGAUGCUAUAUGCCGUGUGAUACUGUAAUAGAUUGAAUACAGAAGCAGAUAGGAGAAUCCAGUUGUCUUCUAUGAAGCCAGGCAUGAGAUUUGCAAAAGUCUUCGAUAUAGAAGAAUUGAAAACAAGCCACACAUUGACACUGAUGAAUAAUAAUAAUGAAGAAUACAUUGUGGAGAGCCGUUUUUCAGACUCAAGAGUAUUUUUCACGAGCUUAAGAUGUCACGUUUAAGGAGAGAAUGGGAGCUGACGGCUCAACCUAGCAGUUGAAGAAAUUGUCACCAUUCACUGUUCUGUUUACCAUUUACAUAAGAACUCACAAGCUGCUAGCACCGGCUGAUGACAGAGCCGGGCAGACUGGAGGAGAGCUUGCCCUUAAAUGAAAACGGAGCUGCAUUUGAUUUAUCACCCUCAGCUGUCACUCCUCACCUCCACCGAACCUUUCCCAAGACCACAAUAAAUGUCACUUCAAAGGUUCAGAGCUGGGUUUCAACUGUGAAGAAUGUAUUCAUCCCACAACAGUCUCCCUCCAACAAAACAGCAUCUGUAGUCCGUGUUGGGAGCGGGGAGAGCACAUGGAAAAAGUUCCUUGAAUUUUACGUAAUAAAGAAAGCAUUAGGCUAAUCACGAGGUUAACUUUAUCCAUCUCCCACAAAUCCCCGGGUGGGUUCUCUGAGGCUACAGGCACGUUAUUGGUGCUGAGGUGUGUCUUGGGAUCCACUAAUGCCCCGAUGCUUCUAGUUACUUUGAAGACAACAAAUUCUUGUCUUGUUGGAGGAAAUUGGGACUUGGGGGCUGGAAAAGAGAACGUGUAGUGGAGAAGGCGUGGGAAGUUACUCUCAUAUAGUUGAGGGCUUCUUGGAAGAGAGAUUAGACUCAUUCUGCAUAGUCAAGAAGGGCAGGAUAGGAACACAUUUUUAGCUCGAAAUAAAGAAGAUGCUUUCCAUGAGACUGUGGCAUCGUUAAUAAGACACAGACCUCAGGUUGCGUUCUCCUAAGGAAAUAUUGAUCAGGUACCUACUUUGGGUCAAGCAUUGUCACUCACAUGAUUUCAAUUACAUUUCACAACAUUCCUGUAAGGUAGCUGUUAUUACCUUGUUUCAAAUGUGGCACCCUCCUGCUCCAAGGCCACCAUGACAGCCAUUGGGGCGAGGAAAACAUCUGUCCGGUGCCGGCAACCUGCUGAGCGCUCCGCCUGCCUGAGCAGGCUUUCUGUCCCAGACAGGAAAUCAAACGUAAAUGUCACUUGCUUUCUGUGUUGGAUUGGAAAAGAGACAACUUGCGUGUCCUGGACAGCAGAACUUGAAUUUAACACGAGAGAAAGGCAUUAAAACAACCUGUACAAGAUUGCAAAAGGUUUUUAUUGAAACCAGAACGUCUCAUCUCACCAAUAACGUGUGCCUCAGCAGAGUGCAAAUUCUCUUAUCCAUGUGCGCUUAAAAGUUGUUUCUGGCCUGUACAAUCUGCAUGUCCAAAAUCAGUCUUUUUCACUAAGAUAUGUCUUGCUGUGUUUAUAAAAGAGUAUGUUCAGAAUGCA